GUUGUAGCUUAAUGGUAGAGUGCUUGCCUAGCACAUAUGAGGCACUGGGUUCAAUCCUCAGCACUACA
rnacentral:tRNA from 1 species